GGGCUCACACAAGCGGUGGAGCAUGUGGCUUAAUUCGAGGCUACGCGAAGAACCUUAUCCCAGACUUGACAUGUUCGAAAGAGGCUGCAGGUAGAACCCGGAAACGGGAACGAACGGUAUCCAAUCCGGAAGCAGCCACAGGUGCUGCAUGGCUGUCGUCAGCUCGUGUCGUGAGAUGUCGGGUUAAGUCCCAUAACGAGCGAAACCCUUACCCUGAGUUGCUACCCGCAAGGGGCACUCUCGGGGGACUGCCGGUGUCAAACCGGAGGAAGGUGGGGAUGACGUCAAGUCCUCAUGGCCUUUAUGUUUGGGGCUGCACACGUGCUACAAUGGCGUGAACAGAGGGAUGCGACCACGCGAGUGGAAGCCGACCCCCGAAAACACGCCCCAGUUCAGAUCGCAGGCUGCAACUCGCCUGCGUGAAGCCGGAAUCGCUAGUAAUCGCGGGUCAGCAACACCGCGGUGAAUGUGUUCCUGAGCCUU
rnacentral:rRNA from 1 species